UCUCCUGUGGGGGAGGGAGGAGCUGGUGUGAGCUCACGAAAGGGCUAGAGCCGGAGCCUGGUUAGGGCAAGUAUGGGUUGUGCGUGCCCACAUGACAGAGUCUCAGGGCUCAGGCACCACACUGGACCUGACACCCAUCAGUGAUAACAGCCAAUACUCACAUUCACCAGGUGCCAGCCAUUAUUCUAAGCCCUUACCAUAAAUUAACUUAUCUGAUCUUUACAAGGUAAUGAAGGUAGGUCUUACAGCUGUCCCAUCUUAGAAGUAAAGAAUGGAAGCCCAGAAAGGUCAAAUAACUUGCCCAGGUCCACAUGGCUGGUGAACUCCACCUUUGCCCAGAAAGUCUGGGCUAGAGCUCCUCAUAUCCACUAGGACCCACCCGUCCCCAAGGAAGCCUGGUGGAGUCCAGAGAAGGUGGCUGCCUGCUGGGUGUGAAUGUCUGGCUCCCUUUGCUAACACAUGCUCUGGUCAUGUGGGCUUUUCUUCCUUCCUUUUUUUCUAAGUGAGCAGAACAUGACUGCACUUACCCUGCUGGUGGCCAGCCAAGACACCCAGAUUUCUCCCCUUCCCCCCGUUCUUGUAACAGACCCAGUUCUGGGGCCAUCUUAUUUUGGAGGGAAUAAAAUAUAGUAGCUAAGAGCAAGAGUCAGAAAUAUGGGAAAUAUGGGGUUUCCUCCCAGCUAUGCCACUCACCUGCUGGGAGGCCUUAGACACACUACUGAACCCCUCUGAGCAAUAGAUUCCUGGUC